GAUCCUGGCUCAGGACGAACGCUGGCGGCGUGCUUAACACAUGCAAGUCGAACGAAAAGAGGGAAAGAGCUUGCUCUUUCCGGAAUUGAGUGGCAAACGGGUGAGUAACGCGUAAACAACCUGCCUUCAGGAUGGGGACAACAGACGGAAACGACUGCUAAUACCGAAUAAGUUCCAAGGGUCGCAUGAUCCAUGUAAGAAAAGGUGGCCUCUACCUGUAAGCUAUCGCCUGAAGAGGGGUUUGCGU
rnacentral:rRNA from 1 species